UCGUCCUGGCCCCCGAGUGUCCCUGCUCCCCUGUGCUCAGCUGUGGCAGGGGGGCCUGAGGCAGGACGUACAGCAUCUCCCUCUCAGUUUAGGAGGGCUGUCCUAAGCACGGGGCUGGCUCUUAAAGGCACGAGAGGACAUU
ensembl:snoRNA